rnacentral:rRNA from 1 species
AAGAUUAAGCCAUGCAUGUCUAAGUAUAAGCAAUUUGUACUGUGAAACUGCGAAUGGCUCAUUAAAUCAGUUAUCGUUUAUUUGAUAGUACCUUACUACAUGGAUACCUGUGGUAAUUCUAGAGCUAAUACAUGCUAAAAACCUCGACUUCGGAAGGGGUGUAUUUAUUAGAUAAAAAACCAAUGCCCUUCGGGGCUCCUUGGUGAAUCAUAAUAACUUAGCGAAUCGCAUGGCCUUGCGCCGGCGAUGGUUCAUUCAAAUUUCUGCCCUAUCAACUUUCGAUGGUAGGAUAGUGGCCUACCAUGGUGGCAACGGGUAACGGGGAAU